AGAGUUUGAUCCUGGCUCAGGACGAACGCUGGCGGCGUGCCUAAUACAUGCAAGUAGAACGCUGAAGAGAGGAGCUUGCUCUUCUUGGAUGAGUUGCGAACGGGUGAGUAACGCGUAGGUAACCUGCCUUGUAGCGGGGGAUAACUAUUGGAAACGAUAGCUAAUACCGCAUAACAAUGGAUGACACAUGUCAUUUAUUUGAAAGGGGCAAUUGCUCCACUACAAGAUGGACCUGCGUUGUAUUAGCUAGUAGGUGAGGUAACGGCUCACCUAGGCGACGAUACAUAGCCGACCUGAGAGGGUGAUCGGCCACACUGGGACUGAGACACGGCCCAGACUCCUACGGGAGGCAGCAGUAGGGAAUCUUCGGCAAUGGGGGCAACCCUGACCGAGCAACGCCGCGUGAGUGAAGAAGGUUUUCGGAUCGUAAAGCUCUGUUGUAAGUCAAGAACGGGUGUGAGAGUGGAAAGUUCACACUGUGACGGUAGCUUACCAGAAAGGGACGGCUAACUACGUGCCAGCAGCCGCGGUAAUACGUAGGUCCCGAGCGUUGUCCGGAUUUAUUGGGCGUAAAGCGAGCGCAGGCGGUUUGAUAAGUCUGAAGUUAAAGGCUGUGGCUCAACCAUAGUUCGCUUUGGAAACUGUCAAACUUGAGUGCAGAAGGGGAGAGUGGAAUUCCAUGUGUAGCGGUGAAAUGCGUAGAUAUAUGGAGGAACACCGGUGGCGAAAGCGGCUCUCUGGUCUGUAACUGACGCUGAGGCUCGAAAGCGUGGGGAGCGAACAGGAUUAGAUACCCUGGUAGUCCACGCCGUAAACGAUGAGUGCUAGGUGUUGGAUCCUUUCCGGGAUUCAGUGCCGCAGCUAACGCAUUAAGCACUCCGCCUGGGGAGUACGACCGCAAGGUUGAAACUCAAAGGAAUUGACGGGGGCCCGCACAAGCGGUGGAGCAUGUGGUUUAAUUCGAAGCAACGCGAAGAACCUUACCAGGUCUUGACAUCCCGAUGCUAUUUCUAGAGAUAGAAAGUUACUUCGGUACAUCGGUGACAGGUGGUGCAUGGUUGUCGUCAGCUCGUGUCGUGAGAUGUUGGGUUAAGUCCCGCAACGAGCGCAACCCCUAUUGUUAGUUGCCAUCAUUCAGUUGGGCACUCUAGCGAGACUGCCGGUAAUAAACCGGAGGAAGGUGGGGAUGACGUCAAAUCAUCAUGCCCCUUAUGACCUGGGCUACACACGUGCUACAAUGGUUGGUACAACGAGUUGCGAGUCGGUGACGGCAAGCUAAUCUCUUAAAGCCAAUCUCAGUUCGGAUUGUAGGCUGCAACUCGCCUACAUGAAGUCGGAAUCGCUAGUAAUCGCGGAUCAGCACGCCGCGGUGAAUACGUUCCCGGGCCUUGUACACACCGCCCGGCACAUCACGAGAGUUUGUAACACCCGACGCUGGUGAGGUAACCAUUUGGAGCCAGCCGCCUAAGGUGGGAUAGAUGUUUGGGG
rnacentral:rRNA from 1 species